AUGGAGGCCGACUUGGAAAGGAUAGAUGCCAUGGAGGAGGAUCAAGAAGUUACUUCUCGUUUCCGAGUCGGAUUCAUGAUGGGGGAACUACAGAGCUCAGCUAUCCCAAACUCGGUCAUCCCUUCCAAUGUUAGAUUUCUUUCUUAUGAAAAUAUGAAAAAGAGUGUCACUUGUUCUCCCGCAGCUAUGCAACAUCCGUGGGUGAAAGGAGCUUUAGCCGUUACGGGUAAGCUCCGUAAGGAAAUAAUGGACCUCAAGCAGCAAGUCAAUAAGCUUGAGGAGGAGAAUCGUAUCCUAAGGGGCAUCAUCGCCAAGAAUAUCACAUUACCAACGCCGAAGAAAGAGAUAUAA
rnacentral:rRNA from 1 species